GUGCCAGCAGCCGCGGUAAUACGUAGGGCGCGAGCGUUAUCCGGAAUUAUUGGGCGUAAAGAGCUCGUAGGCGGUUUGUCGCGUCUGCCGUGAAAGUCCGGGGCUUAACCCCGGAUCUGCGGUGGGUACGGGCAGACUGGAGUGCAGUAGGGGAGACUGGAAUUCCUGGUGUAGCGGUGAAAUGCGCAGAUAUCAGGAGGAACACCGAUGGCGAAGGCAGGUCUCUGGGCUGUUACUGACGCUGAGGAGCGAAAGCAUGGGGAGCGAACAGGAUUAGAAACCCCUGUAGUCC
rnacentral:rRNA from 1 species